rnacentral:rRNA from 1 species
ACGAACGCUGGCGGCGUGCUUAACACCUGCCAGUCGAACGGAAAGGCCCUGCUUUUGUGGGGUGCUCGAGUGGCGAACGGGUGAGUAACACGUGAGUAAUCUGCCCUUGACUUUGGGAUAACUUCAGGAAACUGGGGCUAAUACCGGAUAGGAGCUCCUGCUGCAUGGUGGGGGUUGGAAAGUUUCGGCGGUUGGGGAUGGACUCGCGGCUUAUCAGCUUGUUGGUGGGGUAGUGGCUUACCAAGGCUUUGACGGGUAGCCGGCCUGAGAGGGUGACCGGCCACAUUGGGACUGAGAUACGGCCCAGACUCCUACGGGAGGCAGCAGUGGGGAAUAUUGCACAAUGGGCGGAAGCCUGAUGCAGCAACGCCGCGUGCGGGAUGACGGCCUUCGGGUUGUAAACCGCUUUCGCCUGUGACGAAGCGUGAGUGACGGUAAUGGGUAAAGAAGCACCGGCUAACUACGUG